ACUAGCAUAUAAGAAUGUUAACUAAAACUGCAUCACAUCAUAUUAUAGCAUCAAUCCAUACAAGAUUGGUUAGGGCUUUUAACCAUAACCCUAACAAAGUACUAGUCACUCAUAGUUACACAAAUAAACUUCAUAAUCAAAUUAAGCAUCAAAAUAGAUCUAGAGUUUAAGGGAAAGAGUUGGCUUAGUGGUGUGUUGAUUGAUCCCCAAGCUCACGUCUUGGUGGUGGUGGUGAUUCCCUCUCCUUCUUGCUCUUGAUGAUUUGACGAUAAGAGAUAGUGAAGGUUGAUUUAUGCUUUGUGUGAAUAGGUGGAGUGGAUGGAGAAAAUGGUAUAGAAAAGAGAGUGGAGAAAUGAUGUAGUGGUGGUGGUGUUAAUGGAGGUUUGGGAUUAGAUAUGGUGGUGGUGAUGAAGGAGAUGGAGUUUUAGUGGUGGAGAUGGAGGAAAAGAGAGAGUGAAUGGGUGAAUGAUUAGAUGAUGUGAAUAAUGAGAGAGGGGAAGUAUUAAAUAGAAGAAAUAAGGGAAAGAGGAGAAGCUAGUUUUCUCCCAUCUGAUGAAGCAAAGGAAGAAAUAGCAAAGAGCUAGCACAAAAGUCAAUAAAGCUAGCUAGGGAGGUUGAGUGUUAGGGAGGAGAAAGAUGAACAUAAUCAUGAGCUAUGAGAGAGUAGAGUAGGAAAAGGUGUGCAUAGUGAUGCCUAUUAUCCAAAGGAUUAUAAGGUAGAAGCAAUUGUAUUACUCAAUCUCCUUGGUCAUCUUUGCUCCUCCUUCAUGGUGAUCGGAAAAGCUAUGAUCGACACCACUAAAAGUGGUGGUGAGCCACCAAUAAUGGUGAUUUGCCGGAAUCCGGAAAUCUACGUUUUACUCCACAUUGGACCGUCAUUCUUCCUAGCUCCGAUUCUCCAUAUUAAUGCUAAAAAUACAUGUUUCCAUCACUCUUACAAUAUUCCUAGAUAAAUAGAAAAUGAUUUAGUGAAAGCUAAAAUGAACUCAAAAACAAGGCAAAUUCAAUAUUUAGGGGAAUGAAAAUAUGUGUAAAUUAUGGUCUAACAAGUAUCAUUAAUUAAUUAAAUAAAUUACAAUAGACCAUUACAAGAGCAACAAAGGGUCUAUUGUGCAAUAAAGAGUUUAUGACCGUUGUCUGGACACUGCCGAUUGUUGACCAGAAUCCGACGGCCGUUGACCGGACUCUGCAAUAGGAGGGUUUAUUGGGGGGAAGUAAGGUCUACUAGGGGCAGUAGGGGUAUAUUGGGGGUAGUAUGGGUCUAUUAAGGGCAGUAGGAGGUUGUCGGAGUCUAUUAGGGCCAGUAAAGGGUUUGUCAACUGGGUCUAUUGGGGGCAGUAGAGGUUUGUGUGUGGUUUAUUAAGGGCAGUAGAGGGUCUUUUAGGGGUAAUAGGAGGUCUGUCGAGGGGUCUAUUAGGUUAGUAGGAGGUCUGUAAACUCUUAAUUCCCAUCCACCCUAAAUUAAGGGAAUUUUUUUCCAUUAACAAAAAAUGAAUCUAAAAUUUUCACCAACCCUAAAAACUCUUAGCAAGUUCUUCCCAUCCGCCAAAUAUUCACUUUUUUCUAUAUUUUCCUUAACAAAAGGGAGACAAAAGAGGGGCAUUUUGGGAUUUGGCUGAUGGGAAGGAAAAACCACCACAGACAUUGUAUUUCAGAUAAAAUAGUGAAAUAACAAUGCCACUAGAUAAAAUACACCAAAACCAUGUAUUUCAUUGUAUUUCAAUUGUACACCUAAAAUACCCUAAACCAGGUAUUUCAUUAUAUUUCAAUUGUAUUUCAGAUAAAAUACACCUCUAGGCUAAUCAUUCAUAUCGCAAUGCCACUCCCUUGUAGACCUGGACUUCAAAUAGUGAAAUAACCCAUCCCAAGAGAUGAAAAUCACAUUCUCACUGUGAAGGAUCCCUUGUUCUCAGACACUGCGAAUCUGUAUAAGAUGAUCAAGAUGUUCAAUGGAAGCAAACAUUUGUGACAAAUAGCAUCACAAGCGACGCUUCUAUGCAUUCUACCUUUAAAACUCUGUCAAUACCAAAUACCAAAUAAAUACCAUUUCCAACAGAGUGCAGAUAUGACAAGGUCACCCGGUAUUCAUGACCAAAGCAGAUAUCAUUAGGCACAUGAU
rnacentral:lncRNA from 1 species